UACGUAGAGUGCAAGCGUUGUCCGGAAUUAUUGGGCGUAAAGAGCUCGUAGGCGGCUUGUCGCGUCGGCUGUGAAAACCUGGGGCUCAACCCCGGGCCUGCAGCCGAUACGGGCAAGCUAGAAUUCGGUAGGGGAGACUGGAAUUCCUGGUGUAGCGGUGAAAUGCGCAGAUAUCAGGAAGAACACCCGUGGCUAAGGCGGCUCUCUAGUACGGUACUGACGCUGAGACGCGAAAGCGUGGGGAGCGAACAGG
rnacentral:rRNA from 1 species